rnacentral:rRNA from 1 species
GACGAAGGGGGCUAGCGUUGUUCGGAAUUACUGGGCGUAAAGCGCGUGUAGGCGGUUGCCCAAGUCGGGUGUGAAAGCCUUGAGCUCAACUCAAGAAAUGCACUCGGUACUGGGUGACUAGAGGACCGGAGAGGAUAGUGGAAUUCCCAGUGUAGUGGUGAAAUACGUAGAGAUUGGGAAGAACACCAGUGGCGAAGGCGGCUAUCUGGUCCAGCACUGACGCUGAGGUGCGAAAGCGUGGGGAGCAAACAGG